rnacentral:rRNA from 1 species
AUUGAACGCUGGCGGCAGGCCUAACACAUGCAAGUCGAGCGAGCGGCGGACGGGUGAGUAAUGUCUGGGAAACUGCCUGAUGGCGGGGGAUAACUACUGGAAACGGUAGCUAAUCCCGCAUACCAUCAGAUGUGCCCAGAUGGGCUUAGCUAGUAGGUGGGGUAACGGCUCACCUAGGCGACGAUCCCUAGCUGUUCUGAGAGGAUGACCAGCCACAGUGGAACUGAGACACGGUCCAGACUCAUACGGGAGGCAGCAGUGGGGAAUAUUGCACAAUGGGCGCAAGCCGGAUGCAGCCAUGCCGCGUGGGUGAAGAAGGCCUUCGGGUUGUAAAGCACGUUCAGCGGGGAGGCGUUACCCGCAGAAGAAGCACCGGCUAACUCCGUGCCAGCAGCCGCGGUAAUUC